AACAGUUGACGUUUCGGGCCGAGACCCUUCAUCAAGACUGGAAUCAUAAAAGAAACGGGCAGAAGGGCGGUCCUUUUGCUUACAAAGCCGGGACUCGGCGUGUGUGUGCUUCUGAGUAUGCCCAGCAGCCCGUUACGUGGAAUUGUGGCUCCAGGGCUGGGAAGGGAAUGGGAGAAGCAGGUGGCAAUUCAUUGGUUCAGCGGCUGGGAAUGUGGUGCUGGAGAUAGAAACUGGGCGGCUCGGGAGAACGCAGAGCGCGCACACACAGAUGACCAAAAUACGGUGGACGGCGGCGGUUUAUUAAUUAGUGUCAACUUCAGGCACAAAUCUCCGCACUCGUGAACAGAAGCCGAGAUACAAGAAAAAGAUCUAUUAAGAAUUCUUGGAGGCAUAGAGCUUAGAUUAUGCUUGGAAAACUUGUUUCCUUUCUCUUGGGCGAGAGAGAUGGUGAUGAUUGUGAAGAAAAGAGUGUCAUGAAUAACAUUCUUUAUGAGAACGUGGAGGAUGACUGGGUUAUGGUGGAUAUCCAAGAUCAGUAUCCAGUGCUGAAACUGGAAAAUGCUCCAGUAAAAAACCUCCUGACUGAGCACCCCAGCAUGUCUGUUUACUCUCUGAGGAUUACGAACAGUGACGGCGAGGAAGAAGCUGAGUUGGAGGAUCUGGAGAGUCUCAGCUCAGAUGUGAUGCAAGAGUUUCCAAUAUAAAAGUGGAGUGAAGAGGCAGUUUUACCAAUUCAUUACAACUAUCUUGAAAGUGUGAAUAUAUCCAAUAGUUAUCAAGCCAUUCAGCACAGAAACAGGACCUUCAGCUCACCAUCUAUAUGUGGACCAUCAAGUUUCUACAACGGCUAUACUAGUCCCAUUUAUCAGCACUUGUUCUUAGUCUUUUUGCCAUCGUGAUUCUGAUGUUCAUCCAGAUUAAAUUUUGUGAUAAUUUCUGCUCCAGAUUACAGCCACCCUCUUGGUGCUUCCUGCUUAUCAUGUGGCAACCAGAAUUGCAUUCAAUAUCCCAGCUGCGGCCAAACCCAUAGUUGUUAAAAAGACAAACUGUUGAAGGGGCUCAGCAGGUCAGCAGCAUUUGUCGGUCAGCUCUUUGGGUCAAGCUCUUCCUGUUCUUGUGUGCCAUGCCGCAGCUAAUGAAGGCAAGCAUCUCUCGUGCCUCUCCACCACCCUUUCUGCUUGUGCUGCCACCUCUUAGGCUUUGUACACCAAGGUCCCUUUGUCCCUCAGUGCUCUGCAGGGCCUCAGCAUUCUUGGUAUCCCAGUCCAUCCCUGGUUUCCAGUUUGGGUCCACCUUUAUCAGCAUGGAAUUGCUGAUAAAACCCAUGGCCGUGGUUGCAUGCUCAUUUAGGCUGAGUGCUGAGUCUUUGAGUGUAGAUCAGCUUCCUGACCCAAAGCAGUUUUGUAUAAGAUCAUCUGUUUCCUCAGACCAGCACUGUAUGACUUUCUGAACAGGAUCCUAGUGUUUCAGCUUCUGUUUGUAUUCAGGAAGAAAGAGCACAGCCUGGUGGUCUGAUAUCAAAAAGCUCAAUUAAAUUAGUCAGGAUAUCCCACCAACAUAUCCACCUUGAUUAUCCCUAAUCAUUCCCUACCUUUUCAAGCAGAUAUUAUUUACUUAUUUAUUGAGACGCGGUGUGGAAUAGAGCCACACUGCACAAUAACCACUAAUUCAGCCCUAGCCUAAUCAUAGGACAAUUUACAAUGACCAAUUUACCUACCAACUGGUACAUGCACCCAGAGGGAAUGGGGAGAAUGUACAAACUCCUUACAGGCAAUGUCCCGGGUUGUCUGUACUGCAAAGCGUUGUACUAACCUUUGCACUAUGGUGCCCCCUCAGAAUUUUCAGUACUUUUCCCUCAGUAUAGACAAACUGGCCUUUAGAAUUGACAGAAAAUAUUUGAGGAUGCUUCCAGGACCAGAGGGCCUAAGUAAUAAGGAGCGGUUGGCCGUGCUAAGUCUUUAUUCCUCGGAGCAUAGGAGAAUAAGGGGUGAUAAACUGGUUGGUAGCAAUCCUUUUGCCACAGUAGAGGAGUCUGAAACUAGGGGCAUAGCUUUCAGGUGAGAGGAAAAAACUGAAAAGGGACUUAAAGGGCAACCUUUUCAGAGUUUGAGGCAGGUACAUGGAGGGGUAUGGGCUGAAUGCUGAAAUUAAGACUAGAUGGGUGGUUCCUGUGCUUGUAUUGACUCACUGGGCCAAAUGGCCUGUAUCUCUGGUGCAUUGCUCAAUGACUCAUUGAAUAUAUAUUGUAUUCCCACUACCCUUCUUGAAUUAAGGCACCACAUCUGCUGAUCUGUAGUUUUCUAGCAUCUCACCUGUGGCACCUCACCAUGUACUGUAUAUGUGGACCAUCAAGUAUCAAAUAUCUUUGUCAGGACUCUAGCAAUCUCCUCCUUUGCCUUUCAUAGUUGCCAGGAAUAUACCUCCUCAGGCACUUGUCUACCUUUCUGCCCAUUAAGACAUCAAAUACCUCCCUUUUAAUUGUAAUAUGAUACAGAAUUUCACUACUCCAGCUGUAAUCUCCAUCUUCAUUAUCCUCCUCCAUAGUGAGUACAAAUGUAAGACCUUGCCAACUUACUCUGCCUCCAUGCACAGAUUGCCCUUUGGUUCCUAAGUAACCCUGAUUACCCUGGUUAUUUUAUUAAAAUGUAUGAGAUGCCUUGGAAUGUUCCUUAAUCUUGUCUCCCUGUGAUUUUCAUAGCCUAUCUUUACCCUGUUCAUUCUUGUUUAAGCAGCCCCCCUGCAAUUACUGAACCCUCCCGAAUUCUGAUGAAGGGUCUUGGGCUGAAACAUCAAUUGUUCAUUCCACUCCAUAGACACUAUUUGACUUGCUGAGCUCCUUCAGCAUUUUGUGUUGUUUCUCUGCAUUUCCAGCAUCUGCAGAAUCCCUUGUGUUUAAAGCUUGAAAACCUUUUGACACCCAGUGUUCACACAACUUCUUGUACUUACCUCUCACCUUUAUGGGAACACGUUGGUGCUGAGAACUCCUUAUUUCACAUUUAAAAUACUCCCAUUUUCCAAAUGUUGACUUGCUUUCAAGUAGCUGUUCCCAGCCUACAUUUGUCAGGUCCUGUCCUUUGAUAUGGAAAUCUGCCUUCCUCCAAUUGAGACACAAUUCCUGGCCUGUCCUUAUCCAUUUCCUUUACUACUUUGAAAACUUACCAAGUUACGAUCAUUAUCCGCAAAGGCUCACCCACUUUAUGCCUUCAGCUUUUGGUUUCAAAGCUGAUGCCUCCAAUUUACAUAUUGGUCAUUCUCUGUUCAAAACAUUGAAACUUUGUUGCAUAGUUUAUGGACGAUAUAAGGAUAAGUGGAGGUAGAUACAAAGGAGGGGAAGGUAGUUCUGAGGAAGUGGAGAAGGAUUUAGAUAGAUUGAGAGAAUGGGCUAAGAAGUGGCAGAUAGAAUAGAACGUGGGGGGUGUGGUCACGCACUUGGUAGAAGAAAUAAAAGGAUAGACCAUUUUCUAAAUGGAGAGAAAUUCAGGCGCAAAGGGACUUGAGAGUCCUUGUGAAGGAUUUCCUAAAGGCUAAUUUGCUGGUUGUGUCAGUGGUGAGGAAGACAAAUGUGAUGUUAGUAUUCAUUUCAAGAGGACUAGAAUGUAAAAGCAAGGAUGUGAUGUUAGGCUUUGUAAAGCACCGGUGAGGCCUCACAGAGUAUUGUCAGCAGUUUUGGACCCCUUAUCUCAGAAAAGAUGUGCUGACACUGGAGAGGGUUCAAAGGAGCUUCACAAAAAUGAUUCCAGGAUUGAGUGGCUUGUCAUAUGAAGGGUGUUUGAUGGCUCUCAAAUUACUGGAAUUCAGAAGAAUGAGGGGUGACCUAAUUGAAACCUAUUUGAAUGUUGAAAGGCCUUGAUGGAGUGGAUGUGGAGAGGAUGUUUCCUUUGCUGGGAGAGUUUAGGACCAGAAGACACAGCCUCAGAAUACAGGGGUGUUGUUUUAGAACAGAGAUGAGGAGAAAUUUCUUCAGCUGGAGAGUGGUGAAUCUGUGGAAUUUGUUGCCACAUGCCGACUGUGAAGGCCAAGGCUUUACGUAUAUUUAUGGCAGAGGUUGAUAGAUUCUUGAUUGGUCAGGACAUGAAGGGAAACGGGGAGAAGGCAGGAGAUUGGGGCUGAGAGGGAAAAUGGAUCAGCCAUGAUGAAAUAGCGGAGCAGACUCAAUGGGCCAAAUGGCCUAAUUCUGCUCCUAUAUCUUAUGGUCAUUAUGGUUUUACAAUAAACUGGCCUAAAAUUUACCUUUCUAGUUCAUUACACUUGUCAACCAGCAGCUGAGUUGAAUAUUAGGUAUAUGUACUGAUCUUUCCGGAAGAAAUUUGCAGCUUGCUCAUUUUUACCCAUAAUCCAUUCUGGAGUCAGCACAUAACUAAUGUUCCUUUAAAUGCACAGUGAAAUUUGGGCUGACCUGGUACUUUCAUUGAGAAUUUGUCUUUUGUUAUUCAGUCAAUAUGAUUUAAAUAUUUGCACAGCAGAAUCUUAUUUUGCAAGCUGUAUUUGUUUAAUAGAAGCAUGUACAGAUUCUUGUGUUCUAAGAUAGCAUCAAUUUCUUAGUAGGUAUUUCAUGCUGAGGUAUUGUGAAGUGUUAUUGGGUGAAUUGUGAUCAAUAUUUAGCUUUUGUGCCUUAUUGCCUUUAGUAUAUGAAUUCAGAUGCCAUUUCUAAGAUAUCAAUCAUAGUGGAGAGUUGCAUGAUUGUGCUGCAGGCAAUUCACCAGAACCUAUAGUUAAUAUAAAAAAACUCAGCAUUACUAACAAUAUUUUGCUUCAGGGCAACAAAAAUGAUAUUUGUUAUGCAUUGUUAUAACACUUUUGACCUUUAUUUCCAGCCCCGAUGAAUGACUAAAACUAUCUUGUUUCCUAUUAUUUCUGUAAAAUCAAUUCUUUCACCUUGAGUGAAUGCUAUCAUAAAAACAUCAGUAUUUCUCUAAUGUGGAAUUCAUGAAUUGGUGAGUUUGAUUUGAUAACCCUUUAUGAUUCCACACCAUAGUUAGUAAGGGAAUAAAGUAGAAGGAUAUUUCUGGGCAGCUCAGAUUUCUUUAGGUACCAAUUUAGCCAGCUAACUUGAGCCUUCCUGGAAAAAACAAUUCAAAUAAAUCUUCCUGGACAAGAUCUGGGAGCCGGGUGCAAGUUGUGUGUUACAGGUAUCAAGAGAGCUCUGUGUUUGAUUUUCCACACUUGAGUGAUUGAGAACAUCUGUAAAGGUAGGAUCCUAGCAAGGAAGCAGUAGAGAGAGAGUAGGAAGAGUGAUUAAUGGUUAAAAAGGAGAAAAUAUAUAUGGGUAAUUUAAAGGGUGGAGUUAACUGCUUGGUAGUGUAGUGGUGAGAUGGGGGAUGGAAAUGGGAGAUGAAAAGUGAUGCCAUUAAAAGACUGGAAAUUUAGUUCAGCCUGUUUAUCAGAGUAAGAUUAGCCCAGCCAAUGCCUUAACAUAAUACCUCUAGGUCUCCUGGCCUUCAAGGCUAAACAAGCUUAUUGAUAUAUGGAGCUCAAUUUCAGCUGCAUAUUGCAACCAAUAACCUUGGUGGGUUCUGGGGUUAUCUAAAGAACAGAUGGACCAAGGAUUUGCUGGCUUUAGUAUUGUAUUCUGCUGGAGGCUGUAAGAAAACCAGUUCAAUUAGUUCCCCUGUGGACAGGGUGGAGAAGCCUGCAGGUGAACCUUGAGAAGAAGCCAGUGAUGGUCACAGAAAUCAAAAACACUCAUGCUCUCCCACUCAGGAAUUUGAUGCCUUGCACAAACACAUGCGGAUGGUAGGUUUUCCAAGGCUCCAAAAUACAGGAGAUAUCUUGGCUAAGAGUAUCGCAAUAGGGUUCUGAGCGGUUCCAUCUCCAUUUGUGUCCAAAGGGCUGUGCUAUGUAGGAGUUUGAGGAAGUAGAAAUGGUGUUAAUUUAUUGUUAUUUUUGACAAAUAUUAAUUGUUAAUACCAACUUUUCAAACACUGUCUGACAAAUAACCUUUUGAAUUCCAUGGAAUAGUGAGAAGUCCUGCUGUGGUUUAUUGAGAGCCUGAUCAAAGCAUCCAUUGCUGUACAUCAGUAUGUUUUACACGGAAGAAACUGGUUUGGCAAUAGAUUUUGCAUUUAUGUCUCAGAAGGUUGAACUGAGGGUGUCUAAGAGCUGCUUUUGCGUACAGACCAGCGCAGUCAAUGUAUUGCUCCUCUUGCCUUGUCUGCAAGGGGCCCGAGCGAGAUGAUGAAGAAGCUCUUUUCUGGCUGUGUGACUUCUCAGAUAGCAGAUGAAGCAGUUGUUGAAAGCACUUGCAUUGUUGGGGAAGGAAGCAGGAGAGUGUGAUGGGUGCUUUGGGAUGUGAAGUCAACAGUCCGCUUGUGUACACUGGACUUCUGUGUUACCUGGUCUCAAGCUUCUCAGUGAAAUCCUGAAUAUUGUUUCUCUGCUUUGAUCGAUCACAAGCCAGGGGUUGAUCUGGAUAUUAUAUUGUUUAAAGGAGUCUUUGUGAACAUUCAUGAUUUUUUUUUCUUUUGUCCACCCGCCAGUCUCUUCCUGUCACACAAUUUGGUUUCACCACUGCUGUUCUGGAGAUCGUAAAAGACUGAAAGCUGGAGUGGCUGCUCAUUUUGAUUGACAUUAUUGAUGGCCAAUCUGGCUUUCUUUACAGUAACAGCUGUCUGCGGGCUGCUGAUUAGGAAAUCUGGCAAAUGCCUCCCCCCGCCCCCGUGGAACCCCAGUGUGAAGGAGAUGAUGUCUUGGUUUACUGGUGAAGUGUGGCCAGCAGAAAGCAGACUUUACCCCUGGAGCUCACCAAUAAGCAGCACGCUGAGCCACUGGUGUACGGCUACACCAAGGAAGCUGUUCCUCUCGGCACCCUCCUACAGGUUGUGUGUGUUGUUCCCGCUGCUACACAGCUGGGGAGCAGUCAUAAUGGGUUAUUGAGACUCGGGCUAUUGAUGUCCUCCCCUAGUCCUCUACUAAUGUCUCUUCUAGAUCACACUGCCCCUGUGCUACAGAGGGCAUCCAGCAGGUAGUAGCUGUGACUUUGGCAGCCAGACCACAAAGUUUAUGAACAUCUCACAGAAUAUAGGAAAGGUACCUUCUACCCACCAGUGAGCAGGACUUCUGCAGAGGAAACCUUUCCCUUAUUUGAGAAGCAAGAGAGGGGUUUCUAUGGAAUUGCAUGUCACCUCUUCAGCUGGCAGGGAGUAGUGAAUCUGUGGAAUGCUCUGCCACAGACUCCGGUGGCGGCCGGGUCUGUGGGUAUAUUUAAAGCGGAAGUUGAGGGUUUCCAGAUUGGUCAGGGCAUCAAAGGAUAUGGCGAGAAGCAGGUGUAUGGGGUUGAAUAGGAUCUGGGAUCAGCCAUGAUGGAAUGGCAGAGCAGACUCGAUGGGCUGAAUGGCCUAAUUCUGUUCCUAUGUCUUAUUGCCAUAUGGUCAUCCAAAGGCUUUGAAUCACAGAAGAAUGUGAGGAAGCUCAGGAAACCAUGCACUCCUAAAUGCCAUUAAGAUUGUUCUCAGAGGAUGAUUCACACCUAAUCUCUCUUAAGGUCAGACACAUCAGCUUGCUAACAUGCCGUCAAUUUUAACUCAACUCUGCCAAAUCCAUCCACCCACCAGUUAAAAUGAAACAACUCUUGGGAUCACCAGUCUGGGAAGGUUUGCUGUUUUGCCUUACAAGUUCUAACAUAGUGAACAGUGAGUGCUUCUGGGUAAUUGUCCAAUGGGACAAUGUUCCUGGAAGGAAUACCGGAAUGAAACUGUUGAUACUGAAAUGUGAAACAAAAACAGAAGUGCCAGAUGAACUCAGUCAUGUAGCUUCUGUGGAAAGAGAAAUCAAUCAUUGUCCCAGGUCAGUGAUGGGAGAAGGAAUCAGAGUCAGGUUUGUUAUCAUCGACAUACUGUAUGCCAUGAAAUCCGUUGUUUUUGUGGCAGCAGUAUACCCAUAGUAAUACACUCUGCUCACACAUGACUGCAUGGACAAACAUCUGGGUAAUCACGUUGUCAAGUUCACCGAUGACAUGCCAGUGGGGCUCAUCUUAAGCAAUGAUGAGAUGUCCUACAGACAGGAUGUGGAAGAGCUCAAGGCCUCUAGCUUGCUAAAUAACCUUCCACAAUGUCAGCAAGACAAACAAAAUGGUUGCAGAGUUCAGGCGAGCGUGCACCACUCACACCCCUCUUUACACCGGCAGCACAGCAGUGGGAACUCGAGCAGUUUUAAUCCCCUGGGAGAGCACAUCUUCCACAACCUCUCGUGGUCCCAGAGCACAUUCCACACACUCAGGAAAGCUCACCGAUGUCUCUACGAUCUGAGGUUGCUGAAGAGAGCUAGACUAUGCACACCUGUGUUCAGGUCAUGCGCAGUAGAGAGCGUCCUAACAUACAUUGCUGCAUGGUAAGGAAACUGCAUGGCAGCAGACAGGAAAGCUUUUAGGGCGGCGCAGCUGAAGCACAGCAAUGACUUGUUGGUAACAAAUAAAUCUUCUAAUUGCCUCAGUAAUCAUACUUUGUCUCAAACAAUCACUGCAAUCAAUAGCCUGUGACUUCCCUUUUGGACCACCAGCACAAGCUGGCAUUUUUGCAGUGUGAGCUUGAGUCUAGAAGGUGCAGGAUGGUUUCUGCUGGCCUGUUCAGGCCGAAUUGAGGUGGUGUGUUCUGGCCCAAGAACGUAUCGAAGUGGCAGGGCCUGGGUCUGAGAGUGAAGAAUGACCCACUAUUUGGCCGAUUUAAGCGCAAGGCCGAAUUGACAAGAUUAAAGUGUCGGGGCCAGGGGAGAGGGAUGAGCCAGUGUUCAACUCACUGAUGCCAGGUUUACUCAUCUCUGUGCUGAACUGAGGCUGUGGCCUGCAACAAAUGGUCUCCUGCGUUGGCUGUAACUGGCUUUGUGGCUGUGAUCUUCAGUUCUGAAUAUUAUUUGUGUUCUUUUAUUGGUUGCACGAUUCUUUUCCCUGCACAUUCAGUGUUUGACGGUCCUUUUUCAAUGUGUUCUAUUGGUUUUCUUUGUUUUUUGUGGCUGCCUGUAAGGAGCUGAAACCCGAGUUUGUAUGUACAGUAGUGUACAUACUUUGAUAAUAAAUGUACUUUGAACAAUGGGUUGUCAAAACUGCCCAACACAUCAUUGGCACCAGCCAAUGCACCAUCAAGGACAUGUAUGCAGAAAGGUGCCGGAAAAGGUCCAGUAGCAUUAUGAAGGAUCCCACUCACCCCGCUCAUGCACUGUUAGUCCCAUCACAUCAGGAGCAGACUGCAUAGCAUCCCAACUGGGACUACCAUACUCAAAGUUACUUUCCCCAAGCAGUAAAGCUGAUCAACAACACCACCCACUUACCCACCACCACUACCAUUUCCUGUAAGCCACCUUAUGUACAGUCACUCCUGUGCCAAGUGUCAAUUUAUGGGCAAUAUAUCUAUGCAUAUAUGUCAUUUUAUAUAUUUAAUGCUUUAUGAUUGCGUUCUCUAUCUUAUUGAUUUUUGUGCCUCAUUGGAUUCAGAGAAACAAUUAUUUUGUUCUCCUUUACACUUGUGUACUGGAAAUGACAUUAAAUAAUCUUGAAUCCUGAAAAGAGGAAUAGCGAGUGUUGUUGUGUAAAUGAAAUCACCGGACAGAGAGUUACUGGUAGAUCCAAAGCAGCUUCUUUAUUCGUCAAAACCAGGUACAGCAGGUAACAUAUGGAGAUGCUUUCAGUGGAAAGGUCUGCUGGCCCAUCGUGGGGGUCGAUAUUUAUUUGCUAAACACAAAGGACAAUUCCAUAUUUACAAAGUAUAGACAAUGCUUUCUUGUGACGCUACAUACAAUCUUCAGUCCUUGUGGUUCACAUCCAUCUCAUAUGCACCAGCAGCAUCUGGACUGGGCUUUUAGGAAUCCAUUGUUCCAAACUGAAUCCAUAAUACAUUUAUUUGGUAUUUUACGUGCUAAACAUAAAGGACAAUUCCAUAUUUGUAAAAUAUAGACGCCACUCAUGGUUUUCCAUCAGUUUUAGGCAGCGCCUGUCUUCAAAGCUGGUGUCAGCUUCAUAGCACAGGGCUCACCAGCGGGUUCUGUCAGCAGCUGCAGCUUCCCUUGGCUGGAUGUCACAGUAGCGUAGGGUUUCCUUCACAGUGUCUUUGUAGCGCUUGCAUGGACAACCUUGAGGUCUCUUUCCGGUCUCCAGUUCACCAUGAGCAGCUGGUGAGGCAUACGGUGGUCGUCCAUUCUGAUGACAUGUCCCACCCACCGCAUCUGGGCUCUGAUGAUCAGGGACUCAAUGCUGGAGGACUCUGCGUGAUCCAACACCUCUAGGUUGGAGAUACGGUCUUGCCAACAGAUGCCAAGGAUGGAGAGGAGGGCGGGCAUGUGAAAUUUCUCCAGCUGUUUGAUGUGUCAUCGGUACAGAGUCCAGGUCUUGCAUCCAUAUAGGAAAGAAGGGAUGACCACAGCUCUGUAGACUUUCAGCUUUGUGGAGAUGCGGACGUUGUGUUGAUUGAGCACUCUGGUACGCAGCCUCCCCAGAGCCUGGCUGGCCUUGCUGAUCCUGGAGUCAACCUCUUUGUCCAAAGACCCAUCACUCGAGAGAUGCUUCCCAAAUAUUUGAAGCUGUUUACAUUUGUCAGCUGGGUGUUGUCAGCAGUGAUUUUUGGUUCUAUGGGGUUGGUGUUUGGCAUGGGCUGGUGAAGUACUUCAGUCUUGUUCAGGCAGAUAAUCAGGCCAAAGGACAUAGCAGCGUCUGAGAAUUUGUUCAGCAUUAACUGUAGAUCACUCUUUGUGCGCCAGUCAUCAGCAAAGAGGGUUUCUUGAGUGACUGUGUGGAGGCACUUCGUCCAUGCGAUCAAGCAGUGAAGGUCAAAGAGAGAGCCAUCCAAUCGGUACCUGAUGUACACUCGCUCCUUCAGACCUUGGACAGCACGUGACAAUAUGCAAGUGUAGAACAGAUUGAACAGGACUGGGGCUAGUACACAGCCCUGCUUCACCCCAUUGGAAAUGGCAAGUGCAGCUGACGUAUCACCACUGCAAAGGACCUGUCCCGUCAUUCCGUCGUGGAGCAGCUGAACCAUCUUUAUGAAUGCUGUCUUUGAAACUACAUGCAAGCUCCACAUCUUCUGGUUCACAUCCAUCCCACAGAUGCCAACAUCAUCUAUGGACUGGGAUUCACAGCUUUUAGGAAAUGCAUUGUUCCAAAUUAAAUCCACAAUACAUUGUCAAUGAACAGAACGCUAGUAGCCAAAACCAUUUGCAAAGACCUAAAUGUAAAUGACCUAAACCCAAAAAUCACUCAAACAGUGAGAUGGUAUUCAUGGACCGUCAGAAAUCUGAUGGCAGAGGGGAAGAAGCUGUUUCUAAAACACUGAAUGUCCAUCUUCAGGCUGCUGUUUCUUCUCUCUGAUGAGAAGGGGGCAUGUCCUGGAUAGUCAGGGCCUUUAAAAGGAAGGAGGAAUAUCAGCUUUUGAAGCAGAGCUGGGGGUGGGGGAGUGAGGAAUAAGGUAAAAGACCGUAUAAAAUUGCGGUUGAGACUGAAUGGGUGAUGAAGAGUGUGAGUAUUAACCAUUAGUGAGGCAUUUUUUAGUAAUGGGGACAUAAGCAUGGUAAUGGAAAUGAUGCAAGCAAUUUAGUUGAAGCUGGAAAAAAUUCAAUGUGUAUUCAAAGUUGCAUUGUGCUCAGAUAGGGAUAAAAUGUUCUAGUUUACUUUGGGCCUUGCUGUGAUAGUGGAGGAGGCCACAGACAGUUUGUAAUAGGAGUGGGAUUGAGAAUUAAAGUGGCUGACAUUAGGAAGUACGGGAUCACCCUCCGAGAACUGACCAGCAUGCAGAAUGUGUUUGUUGAACUUCUUCAAGAUAAGGUUGGUCUGUCAUCUUUUAUUGGUUGCCCUUUAAAAAUUGUCAUGUGACGAAUUGCUCUCUGGGAAAAGCUCUUGAAUAAAUGAUAACACUUUGAGCUUCUUGAGUAUUUUGUUUAAAUAGGCUCUGUCACUGAUAGUUUACACUAACUAUUUGCAAGUAGAAGAGGAGGAUUUCCUAAAAGGCUUUUCAAUACAUCUCUUGGUUAGAUGAUUAUUGUAAAAUAAUCUGGUGAAUUAUUUAUCAGAAGCCUUUUUUUAAAAAGGAAAUGAUGCAUUUUCUAUCACAUUGUUAUUCCAUCCUAUUAUUAUAGUUUUGUCAUACAGGAAACUGCAGUCAAACUUCCUAUAAUUAAAGCAGCAUUAAGAGUUAAACUUUUACAAUUAGGUGAACUUUUACAACCUGAAUAUACAAACAGUACAUGCUAGUUUUAUAGAAAGGAGUUACCAUGGUAUUGCAGCAAAUAUCCCAAUGUAGUCAGAAUUUAUAUAAUACAACCUAUUAAAUUCAGGCCUCUUCUCCU